rnacentral:rRNA from 1 species
CCCUGCUUCCAGGAAAAGCCUCUAAGCAUCAGGUAACAUCAAAUCGUACCCCAAACCGACACAGGUGGUCAGGUAGAGAAUACCAAGGCGCUUGAGAGAACUCGGGUGAAGGAACUAGGCAAAAUGGUGCCGUAACUUCGGGAGAAGGCACGCUGAUAUGUAGGUGAAGCGACUUGCUCGUGGAGCUGAAAUCAGUCGAAGAUACCAGCUGGCUGCAACUGUUUAUUAAAAACACAGCACUGUGCAAACACGAAAGUGGACGUAUACGGUGUGACGCCUGCCCGGUGCCGGAAGGUUAAUUGAUGGGGUCAGCGCAAGCGAAGCUCUUGAUCGAAGCCCCGGUAAACGGCGGCCGUAACUAUAACGGUCCUAAGGUAGCGAAAUUCCUUGUCGGGUAAGUUCCGACCUGCACGAAUGGCGUAAUGAUGGCCAGGCUGUCUCCACCCGAGACUCAGUGAAAUUGAACUCGCUGUGAAGAUGCAGUGUACCCGCGGCAAGACGGAAAGACCCCGUGAACCUUUACUAUAGCUUGACACUGAACAUUGAGCCUUGAUGUGUAGGAUAGGUGGGAGGCUUUGAAGUGUGGACGCCAGUCUGCAUGGAGCCGACCUUGAAAUACCACCCUUUAAUGUUUGAUGUUCUAACGUGGACCCGUGAUCCGGGUUGCGGACAGUGUCUGGUGGGUAGUUUGACUGGGGCGGUCUCCUCCUAAAGAGUAACGGAGGAGCACGAAGGUUGGCUAAUCCUGGUCGGACAUCAGGAGGUUAGUGCAAUGGCAUAAGCCAGCUUGACUGCGAGCGUGACGGCGCGAGCAGGUGCGAAAGCAGGUCAUAGUGAUCCGGUGGUUCUGAAUGGAAGGGCCAUCGCUCAACGGAUAAAAGGUACUCCGGGGAUAACAGGCUGAUACCGCCCAAGAGUUCAUAUCGACGGCGGUGUUUGGCACCUCGAUGUCGGCUCAUCACAUCCUGGGGCUGAAGUAGGUCCCAAGGGUAUGGCUGUUCGCCAUUUAAAGUGGUACGCGAGCUGGGUUUAGAACGUCGUGAGACAGUUCGGUCCCUAUCUGCCGUGGGCGCUGGAGAACUGAGGGGGGCUGCUCCUAGUACGAGAGGACCGGAGUGGACGCAUCACUGGUGUUCGGGUUGUCAUGCCAAUGGCACUGCCCGGUAGCUAAAUGCGGAAGAGAUAAGUGCUGAAAGCAUCUAAGCACGAAACUUGCCCCGAGAUGAGUUCUCCCUGACUCCUUGAGAGUCCUGAAGGAACGUUGAAGACGACGACGUUGAUAGGCCGGGUGUGUAAGCGCAGCGAUGCGUUGAGCUAACCGGUACUAAUGAACCGUGAGGCUUAACCUU